GCAGCUUUUAACCUUAUCACAAAGGUCGCUCCGUGGGGCUUUGUAUCUUCAU
rnacentral:sRNA from 1 species